rnacentral:rRNA from 1 species
GAUCCUGGCUUAGGACGAACGCUGGCGGCGCGCCUAACACAUGCAAGUCGAACGAGCGAGAGAGAGCUUGCUUUCUCGAGCGAGUGGCGAACCGGUGAGUAACGCGUGAGGAACCUGCCUCAAAGAGGGGGACAACAGUUGGAAACGACUGCUAAUACCGCAUAAGCCCACGGGUCGGCAUCGACCAGAGGGAAAAGGAGCAAUCCGCUUUGAGAUGGCCUCGCGUCCGAUUAGCUAGUUGGUG